CACGUACUGCACUUUCCUUUCCUUUCUUAUUAUCCUGGAGAGAGAAAAAUGUAGAGUUUCUUUACGUAGUUAGGGUUUCAUCAAAACCUUGGCCAAGUUUAACAAUUUUGGUCUGCGAUUCACAAUUAGGCUCGACCUUAAUUCGAAAUUCUUGCAAUUCUCUGGGAAAUUCAAACGCGAAAUCAUCUGCGAAAUUCCCUCUCACGUCGUUGCUUGAAAUAGUGUGUUCAUCGAGUUGGAGGGUUGAAUUGGGGCUUUGCAUUCGAACAAGUUAGGAUGAGAAAUUCACGAUGAAAGCCAAUAAGGCCAUCUUUCCUAGUCCACACCAUCAGGUUAGAGUUUCAGAAUAUGAAAGAAUGCGGAUGGAGAAUUUGAAAAUGAAUGUGGACAGAAUGACUGCUAAAGGUGUCGGGUUCUUAGCUAAGAAAAUACUACAAGAAAAACUUCAUGUUUCGGGUUUUCCAAAUGGAAAUGGCAAUAAACUGGUGGAAUAACCAGAUGAUGAGUCAACAUCUGAGUAUGAUGGAGGCUGUAAUGAGGAUGAAACUACUAGCAACAUGGAAAUUGAAAUUUUCACCCGUCAUAAAAAAAAGGUAAUGGUUAUUGGGUGUCUCUGCCAGGUCAUCACAUUGUUCUAGCACAAGCCAGUCCCAAGUCCAUUUUUUUCUUUACGAAAAUCCAGCAGUUGCGUGUAUUCCGUUUCCCAGGCUCCUUCAAUUACACAUGAUGGGUAGCAUCUUCAGGCACCAUUCCAGCAGACUGUCAAUAAACACUCCCUUCUCUUUUCAUUUAUUUCCUUCCCUCAAAGACUUCAAUAGAACUUGUUUCAACUGAUGGUACAGUGCACAGAGGUAAUAUUAGUUUUCUAUCGGCUAAACUGUGUUGGCACUUGUUUCAACUGAUGUCCAAACAGGAAAAAAUGAGGACAAAAGUCAAACAUUCUUGCUCAAAACAUUCUUGAUCAGGUAGGACUAGGAUCUGCCCAUCUAGUGAAACAUGGUCAUCAAAAGAAAUGAGACGCUGGGAUCCAUAUAGUCUAUACCUCUCAUAUUCUGCGAAUAAUAUGCUUUAUAUGACUCUUACAGUCUAACCUCUAUUCUGGCCUCCCUCUUCAGAAAUCCAAUUCUAGUAGUUUUUUUGGUUUAUGCAGUUUUACAUUUUGGACUUCAGUUAUCAUGUGUGCUUAAUUUAACCAUAAUAUUACAGAACCAACGCAAUCAAUGAUCUGAAACUAAGAGGUUGACAAUCUACAGAACCAUACUAUUACAUUUUUUACUUCAGUAUUCAUAUGUGCUUUGGUAAUACAAUCUGCAAGUUUUAUACCUACAUUUUAGGUCUUGUUUCUUUCUUUUCUGAAUAUUUAGCCUCUGAUAAUGUAUAGCUCCUGUAUAGAUCCUGCAAAUAUGUGCUUUCUGUAGCUAAAAACUGCAUUUCCAGGUUAGAUAUACUUAUACAAAUUCAUUUUUUGAGCAGAUACCAUUUUUCGACCUGAGAGGACAUAGCUGCAAGAAUCUGCUUGUCACAAGAUCACAAAAUUUUUCUAGAUUGUAAAUUUAUAAAGUUUUAACGUCUCUACUCAUGCUUUAAGGCUCCCACUACUGUAGUCUGUAGAGUAGAUAUUACGUUUGGUGAUGGAUUGAAGUUGUGGUCUUUUGCAGGCUAUUUCUCUUUCAGAAUACAGUUUUAAGUUCACAUUAUUGAUCGUGUUUUGGCUAGUGUACCAUCUUUAACUUAUGCCCAUUCGUGAUUUAAACUUGCAGGAGCAUGGGGGAGCUAAAUGGAUAAGAAGUGUAGAUCUAGCAAUGAGACGGUGGUGGCUCUUGUUAGCUUUGGGUCGUUUUGUGAUUUCUAGUAACGUUGAAUUUGUUUCUAUGGAUUUUAAUUUUAGUACGGCAUUAAAAACACUAAAUUAAUUAGUGAACAACUAUUUUGUAAUGCAUAUGUUCUAUGGGCACUAAAAUUGCAAUAUUACUCUUCAAGUCAAUGAAAAUAUUUUUGUUAUUGA